rnacentral:rRNA from 1 species
GGACGAACGCUGGCGGCGUGCCUAAUACAUGCAAGUCGAACUAACUCUGGUAUUGAUUGGUGCUUGCAUCAUGAUUUACAUUUGAGUGAGUGGCGAACUGGUGAGUAACACGUGGGAAACCUGCCCAGAAGCGGGGGAUAACACCUGGAAACAGAUGCUAAUACCGCAUAACAACUUGGACCGCAUGGUCCGAGUUUGAAAGAUGGCUUCGGCUAUCACUUUUGGAUGGUCCCGCGGCGUAUUAGCUAGAUGGUGGGGUAACGGCUCACCAUGGCAAUGAUACGUAGCCGACCUGAGAGGGUAAUCGGCCACAUUGGGACUGAGACACGGCCCAAACUCCUACGGGAGGCAGCAGUAGGGAAUCUUCCACAAUGGACGAAAGUCUGAUGGAGCAACGCCGCGUGAGUGAAGAAGGGUUUCGGCUCGUAAAACUCUGUUGUUAAAGAAGAACAUAUCUGAGAGUAACUGUUCAGGUAUUGACGGUAUUUAACCAGAAAGCCACGGCUAACUACGUGCCAGCAGCCGCGGUAAUACGUAGGUGGCAAGCGUUGUCCGGAUUUAUUGGGCGUAAAGCGAGCGCAGGCGGUUUUUUAAGUCUGAUGUGAAAGCCUUCGGCUCAACCGAAGAAGUGCAUCGGAAACUGGGAAACUUGAGUGCAGAAGAGGACAGUGGAACUCCAUGUGUAGCGGUGAAAUGCGUAGAUAUAUGGAAGAACACCACUGGCGAAGGCGGCUGUCUGGUCUGUACCUGACGCUGAGGCUCGAAAGUAUGGGUAGCAAACAGGAUUAGAUACCCUGGUAGUCCAUACCGUAAACGAUGAAUGCUAAGUGUUGGAGGGUUUCCGCCCUUCAGUGCUGCAGCUAACGCAUUAAGCAUUCCGCCUGGGGAGUACGGCCGCAAGGCUGAAACUCAAAGGAAUUGACGGGGGCCCGCACAAGCGGUGGAGCAUGUGGUUUAAUUCGAAGCUACGCGAAGAACCUUACCAGGUCUUGACAUACUAUGCAAAUCUAAGAGAUUAGACGUUCCCUUCGGGGACAUGGAUACAGGUGGUGCAUGGUUGUCGUCAGCUCGUGUCGUGAGAUGUUGGGUUAAGUCCCGCAACGAGCGCAACCCUUAUUAUCAGUUGCCAGCAUUAAGUUGGGCACUCUGGUGAGACUGCCGGUGACAAACCGGAGGAAGGUGGGGAUGACGUCAAAUCAUCAUGCCCCUUAUGACCUGGGCUACACACGUGCUACAAUGGAUGGUACAACGAGUUGCGAACUCGCGAGAGUAAGCUAAUCUCUUAAAGCCAUUCUCAGUUCGGAUUGUAGGCUGCAACUCGCCUACAUGAAGUCGGAAUCGCUAGUAAUCGCGGAUCAGCAUGCCGCGGUGAAUACGUUCCCGGGCCUUGUACACACCGCCCGUCACACCAUGAGAGUUUGUAACACCCAAAGUCGGUGGGGUAACCUUUUAGGAACCAGCCGCCUAAGGUGGGACAG